ACGUGUAGCAGUGAAAUGCGUAGAUAUGCGGAGGAACACCGAUGGCGAAGGCAGCCCCCUGGGAUGACACUGACGCUCAUGCACGAAAGCGUGGGGAGCAAACAGGAUUAGAUACCCUGGUAGUCCACGCCCUAAACGAUGUCAACUAGCUGUUGGGGCCUUCGGGCCUUGGUAGCGCAGCUAACGCGUGAAGUUGACCGCCUGGGGAGUACGGUCGCAAGAUUAAAACUCAAAGGAAUUGACGGGGACCCGCACAAGCGGUGGAUGAUGUGGAUUAAUUCGAUGCAACGCGAAAAACCUUACCUACCCUUGACAUGUCUGGAAUCCCGAAGAGAUUUGGGAGUGCUCGCAAGGGAACUGGAACACAGGUGCUGCAUGGCUGUCGUCAGCU
rnacentral:rRNA from 1 species